GCACGGUACAAAGACUCAGUUGUCGUGUACAGCUAAUUGAUCACAACUAGUUACAGAUUCCUUUUUUUCUUUCUCCACUCCCACUGCUUCACUUGACUAGCCUUUA
rnacentral:sRNA from 1 species